rnacentral:rRNA from 1 species
CCUACGGGUGGCAGCAGUGGGGAAUAUUGCACAAUGGGGGAAACCCUGAUGCAGCGACGCCGCGUGAGUGAAGAAGGAAUUCGGUAUGUAAAGCUCUAUCAGCAGGGAAGAAAAUGACGGUACCUGAGUAAGAAGCCCAGGCUAACUCCGUGCCAGCAGCCGCGGUAAUACGAAGGGGGCAAGCGUUCUCCGGAUUUACUGGGUGUAAAGGGAGCGUAGACGGCAGUGCAAGUCUGGAGUGAAAGGCGGGGGCUCAACCCCCGGACUGCUCUGGAAACUGUACGGCUGGAGUGCAGGAGAGGUAAGUGGAAUUCCUAGUGUAGCGGUGAAAUGCGUAGAUAUUAGGAGGAACACCAGUGGCGAAGGCGACUUACUGGACUGUAACUGACGUUGAGGCUCGAAAGCGUGGGGAGCAAACAGGAUUAGAUACCCCAGUAGUC